GAGUUUGAUUAUGGCUCAGGAUGAACGCUGGCGGCGUGCCUAAUACAUGCAAGUCGAGCGAACGGACGAGAAGCUUGCUUCUACUGAUGUUAGCGGCGGACGGGUGAGUAACACGCGGAUAACCUACCUAUAAGACUGGGAUAACUUCGGGGAAACCGGAGCUAAUACCGGGAUAAUAUUUUGAACCGCAUGGUUCAAAAGUGAAAGACGGUCUUGCUGUCACUUAUAGAUGGAUCCGCGCUGCAUUAGCUAGUUGGU
rnacentral:rRNA from 1 species